GGUACGGAAUAACAGUUAGAAAUGACUGCUAAUACCGUAUGAUGACUCCGGUCCAAAGAUUUAUCGCCUAAGGAUGAGCCCGCGUCGGAUUAGCUAGUUGGUGAGGUAAAGGCUCACCAAGGCGACGAUCCGUAGCUGGUCUGAGAGGAUGAUCAGCCACACUGGGACUGAGACACGGCCCAGACUCCUACGGGAGGCAGCAGUGGGGAAUAUUGGACAAUGGGCGAAAGCCUGAUCCAGCAAUGCCGCGUGAGUGAAGAAGGCCUUAGGGUUGUAAAGCUCUUUUACCCGGGAUGAUAAUGACAGUA
rnacentral:rRNA from 1 species